CCGAGGCUGUGGCUGCUAUAUGUAGUCCUGCACACGAGGACCCUGACAAUCUUUCCCUACUUAACCUCCAAGACAAGGGUCCCCACACUGACUUGUCAGUCCCCUUACCGCAUCCCUAAGGCAGUUAAUGAGGGGAUGCGGAAAGAAUUAUCCGAAAUGUUGAAGUUAGGGGUCAUUAUUGAGUCCUCCGACAGUCCUUGGGCUUCCCCAGUUGUUUUAGUACCCAAAAAGGACGG